UACGUAGGGGGCAAGCGUUGUCCGGAAUUAUUGGGCGUAAAGAGCGUGUAGGCGGUCCGGUAAGUCAGCUGUGAAAGUCAAGGGCUCAACCCUUGAAAGCCGGUUGAUACUGUCGGGCUAGAGUCCGGAAGAGGCGAGUGGAAUUCCCGGUGUAGCGGUGAAAUGCGCAGAUAUCAGGAGGAACACCUAUUGCGAAGGCAGCUCGCUGGGACGUAACUGACGCUGAGACGCGAAAGCGUGGGGAGCAAACAGG
rnacentral:rRNA from 1 species